ensembl:miRNA
GCUCCUCCUGCCCAACAAUAUCCUGGUGCUGAGUGAGUUGCACACAGAGACUCCAGCAUCAGUGAUUUUGUUGAGGAAGGGGAGC